rnacentral:miRNA from 1 species
UCUGUUCAAUGGGAUGUGUG